GCCCCUUUGCUUUCUUAAUGAGCCACGUGGCUGUCUUAUUUGCUCUCCUUUACUACUUCCUUUUCCUAUGCUACGUGUGUUUCACUUUCUCUGCUUUUUUGAACAAACCCAAAACUUUUCCAGUUUCUCUCUUUCUUGAAAACACAAAUAUAUUGUUUCCUCUACUCAACAAGUCUUUUCAUUUCACUACCUCAAAUCUCAAACAACUCUCUUUCCUAUCUAAGUCUCCCAUCUUUCUUAUUUCUCUAACCCAUCUUCAUCUUCCACCUUCCUCUGUCUUUAAUUUCUGCGGAAGACGUUUUAGAUCGGUUAAAUCAUUGAUUUUUUUUAGAUCUGCGACAACUAUCAGUGAUGUUUUUUUAGAUCUAUGAUAUCUAACAAGAUCGAUUUGGUUUUUAACUUUCCUAUUUUUUUGUUUUUCAGGUUCUGUGUUCAUCUUUCUAAUUUGUGUUUGUGUUAACAGGAUUUGAUAGAAGGAAGAUCUAAACUACAAUGAGAUGGAACCAAAAAAUUCAUAUUUGAAAUUAAAGGAAGGACAAAUAUUUUAUUUUCAUAUUGAAAACUCUUCCUACUUCACAUGAGAGAAUAGAGCAGAUUUUUUCUACUGGCCAAUGAAAUGGGUUGAUGGGUGGAAUGAGAUGCAGAAUGGAAAUGUUUUGAGCUUGAUGUUCUAACAUUAUCCAACUUGUGUUUUGGCAUAUAAUUUCCUCAUUGAUAUAUUCCUUUAAUAUAUUUCAAAAUAUUAAAUUUAU